rnacentral:rRNA from 1 species
AUACACCUGUUCCCAUGUCGAACACAGAAGUUAAGCUUCUUAGCGCCGAGAGUAGUUGGGGGAUCGCUCCCUGCGAGGGUAGGACGUUGCCAUGC